rnacentral:lncRNA from 1 species
GGGAUCUUAACAAUAUGAUUGAGAAGAGUGGUUGGAAUCAAUCCAGAUAAGGCUUGUUCAUCCCAGAUGUUAUUCCUGAUGCAAGUACUAAGCCUUAUGUUAGCAGGUUUCUUGUUAUUCUCAAUGUACGAACCUAAUGGACUAAUUCCUGUCCAGUUAUUCCACCAGAAUGAGAUGUUACCCUCAUUAAUUUUCCAUAAUAUAUAAGGUUCUGUCCCCUUCUUGAUAAUCAUGAGCUCUUUCCAAGCGGUAGAGUGUUAGAUUCUAUGGCCUUCGCCACAGGGUGACUUCUAGGACAAUAUUGUCUUCAAAUAUUGAGACCAUAGAUUAUACUUCGCUCUAAAUCUCCACCACAUCUUGGCUGCAGAAGUCUUACACAGGUCCUCAUAGAUCCCAACACCUCCUUCACCUACUGGAUAGCAUAGCUGGAUCCAUGAACUCUAGUGAUAUCUGUUUUUGCUUUCAGCUUUGCCCAAGAAGAGGUUGGAGAAGUA